rnacentral:lncRNA from 1 species
AACAAAGACAGGGAAACCUAAGUUUCUCAGCUUCCAGAAGACACGAUGAGCAAGAUCACGUGCCUGGGAGUCCUGUGUGCCGUUGGGGAGGGGCCGGUUCAGACAGGGGCUUGCUUGCUUGGAAGCAGCUCAGCCCACAGUGUUCCGGGCACUGUGAUGUGGGCUGAGCCUAGAAGCAGGGCUCUUGGGGAGUGAUGAGUCUGGAAUUCUUCUCCCUCCUCCACACCAUUACAUUCCCUUUUUCUUCCACUUCCUGUCUCAUCUUCUACCAUACGUCCAGUGGAGGAGAUGCAGGAGGGCAGGGAAUUUCAACUCAGAUGUUUAGUCCCCUGUCGGCAAUGGUUUUGAGAGGAAAUCCAUCAGAGCUGCUUUGAACAAACUGAGUCCAGGGCGUCCUGGCUCCCAAAGAAAACCCCCUCUUCCUUGGUUAGACCAACUCACAGCAUCUUAGUGCAAACAGGGCCUCAGGACCUGGUCCAGCAGGGAAAUCAGUGGCAGGCUCAGGAACGUGUACUAAUUUGUGCUGUUUCAGUAUUUCAAAAGGAUAAAUGGAAAUCGUUGACCAACUUGUGACCAAAAUAUGUCAGUUAACUAAAACACCAUAUUUCUUUGGCUUUGGGUUCUACCUUGUCCACUAGAUGUGGCAGCCUGUUAAAAAGAGCUUCUUGGAAUGAGAUAAAUGCAAAUAGGAAGACACAUUAUGAACUAAAGGGAACAUCAUUUGACCUGUGGUGUCUAGGGACAGGGGAUAUGGCUACUUAGUAGAGCUCUUGCCUAGCAUGCCCUGGGUUCAAUCCCUAGUGCAUGUGUGUGUAUAGACACACACACACACACAAAAAA